AUGGGCACCUCCGCCACGGCCCCAUCGGUUUUCCCACUGGCCCCCAGCUGCGGGACCACAUCUGGCUCCACAGUGGCCCUGGCCUGCCUGGUGUCCAGCUACUUCCCCGAGCCUGUGACUGUGUCCUGGAACUCCGGCUCCUUGACCAGUGGUGUGCACACCUUCCCGUCCGUCCUGCAGUCCUCAGGGCUCUACUCUCUCAGCAGCAUGGUGACAGUGCCCUCCAGCAGGUGGCCCAGUGACACCUUCACCUGCACUGUGGCCCACCCGGCCAGUAAGACCAAGGUGGACAAGAAAGUGCCCAAAGAAUGUGCCUGCAAAUGUCCAGGCUGUUGUUUGCAGGAAGGACCUUUGGUCUUCAUCUUCCCCCCCAAACCCAAGGACACCCUCUCCAUUACCCGAACCCCCGAGGUCACAUGCGUGGUGGUGGACCUGGAAGAACCUGAGGUCCAGAUCAGCUGGUUCGUGGAUGACCAGGAGGUGCACACAGCCAAGACGAAGGUGCCUGAGGAGCAGUUCAACAGCACCUACCGUGUGGUCAGUGUCCUCCCCAUCGUGCACCAGGACUGGCUCAAGGGGAAGGAGUUCAAGUGCAAGGUCAACAGCAAAGCCCUCCCAUCCCCCAUCCAGAGGACCAUCUCCAAGGCCAGAGGUGUGCAGCAGGGUGCGGGGUGCAGGGGUUAG